rnacentral:lncRNA from 13 species
GGGGGGGGGGGGGGGGGGCGGCCGCGCUGGCGGCAACAGCGACCCCUCCGCCCGCCCGGAGCCGCACGAUCCCACCCUGCCACCGCAGCCCGGAGCCCCGGCAUCCUCGAUGGAUGGGGGCAUCCCCGAUGGACGGGGCAUCCCCGGGGCGACGGGUCCCCCCCGGGUGUCCUCAGCAACGCGUGUCCUUUGGGGAGCCGUGACAGGGCAGGCCCUCCCAGCCGAUCCCUGGAGCAUUCCUGGGGGCAGGGAUCCCCUCCUAUGUCCCCUGCAGAGCAGGUCGCUGGGGUACCCUGCGGAGGAGGGUUACUCCGGGGCAUUCCAGUUCCUGGGGCAGCCCUGAGGGCUCCCUUCAGGCACUGGAAGGCUGUCAUUAGAUCACCCCAAAGCCUUCUCCUCUCCAGGCUGAACAAUCCCAGCUCUCCCAGCUUUUCCUCCCAGCAGAGCUGCUCCAUCCCUCUGCUCAUCCUGGUGAACUCCAGCAGCUCCACGUGCUCCCUGUGCUGGAAGGAGGUCACACCAGCUCCCUGCCCUGUGCCUCUCCCUGACCUGGAGACCUGCUCCCACUUCCCUCUGCCAUCCCACCAGCCUGGCAUGUGACACCUUCAGCAUCCAAGGCAGAGCCUCCUUUGUGCUGAGAACAAGGAGCCACAGGCCCGUCCUUCCCGGCAUUUGUGCAAAUGUUUGCUAAUUGCAUCCCCAGAUGUCUGUGCUGGUCCCCUGCAGGCAUGAGUCUCUGGGAUCAGUAUGCAGAGGGAAACUGGUGCACUGGACAGGGCUGGUGGUGGCCCAGAUCUCUCUGAUGUGCUUUGUCUCUGCAGCUCCCAGGCUUUGUUUGUUAGCGCUAAGUCACGAUGCAAAGCGGAACAGUCCAGACUUAGGGAAACUGGGUCAAAUUGCUAAGGAGGAGCACAAAAGCCUAGUGUGUGAGCCUGGGAGGGCAGAACAAACAGGCCAGGGCACAAAAUGGUGAGGGAACUGGGGAGGACAGAGAGGAAGACGCUCUGCACAAGCGUGUUAGACACAAGAGGCAGUUGGGGAGGUGUUGGGCUGGUCCUUGGAGAGGAGGGAAUGUUGUGGAGGAGCAAGGCCCAGCUCAUUCGUGUUUAUGUUGAAUUGCUUCAGAUUCAACUCAGAUGUGCAGCUGCCACCAGGCAGCCAACACAGGAAAAAAGGAGCUAAAAAAUGGGGAUUGUUGAUCUCAAACCGCGUAGGUGCUGUGGGAAAUCACCGCCGGGUGACUUGCUCCACCAUGGAGCUGUUCACUGCUGGUUUUGAGACGUUACAAAGCGUGGGAAAUAUAUCCUGGCAAAGAUAAAAAUGCCCUUUCAACUGGGGUUAAGGAAGCUCCAUGCACAGACCAGAAGUUUAACUUUAUCUGCCAGGAAAAUAUUGGAGUAAAUAAUGAAAAUGUUAGCGCAUAACGAGGAGGUCAGCAGCAUCCUGCGGGCUUUGUCUAGAACAAGUGGCUUCCAAAACAUUUUGAUUUUUCUCCUGCGACAGUAUAAUUCGCUUUUAUGGGCAAAAGAAAAGCAAUGCUUAUUGUAUAAGUUGGCAUUAAU